rnacentral:rRNA from 1 species
ACGCUGGCGGCAUGCUUUACACAUGCAAGUCGGACGGCAGCACAGAGAAGCUUGCUUCUUGGGUGGCGAGUGGCGAACGGGUGAGUAACAUAUCGGAACGUACCGAGCAGUGGGGGAUAACUAAUCGAAAGAUUAGCUAAUACCGCAUAUAUUCUGAGGAAGAAAGCAGGGGACCAUUUGGCCUUGCGCUGUUUGAGCGGCCGAUAUCUGAUUAGCUAGUUGGUGGGGUAAAGGCCUACCAAGGCGACGAUCAGUAGCGGGUCUGAGAGGAUGAUCCGCCACACUGGGACUGAGACACGGCCCAGACUCCUACGGGAGGCAGCAGUGGGGAAUUUUGGACAAUGGGCGCAAGCCUGAUCCAGCCAUGCCGCGUGUCUGAAGAAGGCCUUCGGGUUGUAAAGGACUUUUGUCAGGGAAGAAAAGGACAGGGUUAAUACCCCUGUCUGAUGACGGUACCUGAAGAAUAAGCACCGGCUAACUACGUGCCAGCAGCCGCGGUAAUACGUAGGGUGCGAGCGUUAAUCGGGAUUACUGGGCGUAAAGCGGGCGCAGACGGUUACUUAAGCAGGAUGUGAAAUCCCCGGGCUCAACCUGGGAACUGCGUUCUGAACUGGGUGACUAGAGUGUGUCAGAGGGAGGUAGAAUUCCACGUGUAGCAGUGAAAUGCGUAGAGAUGUGGAGGAAUACCGAUGGCGAAGGCAGCCUCCUGGGAUAACACUGACGUUCAUGCCCGAAAGCGUGGGUAGCAAACAGGAUUAGAUACCCUGGUAGUCCACGCCCUAAACGAUGUCGAUUAGCUGUUGGGCAGCUUGACUGCUUAGUAGCGAAGCUAACGCGUGAAAUCGACCGCCUGGGGAGUACGGUCGCAAGAUUAAAACUCAAAGGAAUUGACGGGGACCCGCACAAGCGGUGGAUGAUGU